rnacentral:lncRNA from 1 species
AGCGCCCGAGGAACCCCGCAGCCCACUGCCCUGGCGUCUCCGGCAGUGGGAGGCCGAGAGGGGCUGUUGGCUAGAGCCCUCCACCACCUGCUGUCUCGCCCUCGCCCCUUUCUCUCGGAUUCAUUACCCAGAAGGCGCAGGAACCCCUCCCUGGUCAUCGUCUCUGGAUGGAGUCACACAGCCUCUGCUUCGGCAUCUGUCUUGUAUGCUGCCUUACAAACCUUACAGCUGCCCUCACGCUUUGCACCUGUGAAUGUGGACUCUCCUUCUUCGGGUGCCUUGCUCUGCAUGGUUCAGUGCCUUCGCUGUGCUCUUCUACCUGAAAUCUCCUGCCUCUACUUGUCUACCAGGAAAACCCUAACCGACCACCAAGCCUCAGCUCAAAUGCUGUGUCCUAUGGAAGUUCCUCUAGGCAGAUUUAGUGGCUGCUUCUGCUGGACCUCCCAUAGACACACACACACCUUUGUCCACACAUCCAUUAUAACCACUAUCUUUUCUCAUUGCAUAUGCUUAUUAUGUUCAAAUUCAUCUCCCCACUAGACUAAGUCCCUUGAGGCCAGGAAUGAUGUCUUACCUUUGCAUUCUCAGCAGCUAGUCUAUUGCCCAGUAAUAAAGUAUUACUUAAUGAAUACAUCAAAUGAAUGUAUGAAUAAAUGAUACCUAAACAAAGUUCUACAGGAGCCUAGAAAUGGGAGCUAUAACCGGUGACUGGCCACACUGAAGAAGCAGCAUUUGACCUUGUAUUGAAGAACAAGUUUGAUUUUGCUUGGCAGAAAAAAAAAAAGGAGAGGACUAUAAGCAGAAGAAUAACAAGAACAAAGGCAUAGGAGUGGGCAAAUCCGUGGUCUUCUCAGAGAGCACCUCAUGUUACAGGUCCAGUGGAAGACAGACAUGAAAGAGGAAGUUUGGACCAGAAUAAUGUAUGUGCUAAGGAGCUGUGGGCCUUAUUCUGGACAUAAUAAAGAACCAUGAAAAAAUUUUGAAUAGGGAAAAGUCAUGACCAGAUACAUGACUUGAUUGGAGGUUGGUUAGAAGGAAAUUGCUAUGAUCUGGGCAAUUGAAGUAAGUGAAAGCCUGAUAGAGUUGCAGCAGCAGUAGGAGGAGGGAAACCAAGUAAAUUUGAGAAGCAUUUUGGAAAUAGGAUCAAGAUGACUUGGCAACCAAUUGAAUAUGGGAAGUGAGGAACCAGUGAAGCUGAAGCUUGGCCAAGCUUUCUGACCUGGCAACUGAGUGAACACUCAGACAACACCACCUACAACUAUAUCGUCUUUACAGGCAGAUUGGAAGCUCUGAGAGAGUAAGGCCCUUGCUCUUGGUGUAUCCUCUACAUCUCUUGUAGCUCCUAACACUGACCGUGCAUUCAGAGGUUCCUAGUAAACAUUUGUUGAAAGAAUUGAUGAUGUUUCUUAUACUCACCAAAUAUGUCAAAAAGGAAAAUAUAAUACAAUGUCUUUUCUUCAGAGACAUUUUCAAAUUCUCAGCAUGUUUUUCCACCACAAAUGAAUUCACAACUAUCUCAUUCAACUUGUACAUCCACAAAAGUGACCCAUUGUUGCACAAACUGAAAUCUCCUUUAAGAUUGUGUGUGUGCUGGGGAGGACAGUCAAACGGUUGGUAUUUUUACUUUUUUUUUUUUUUUUUUUGGAGAGAGGGCUAUGAUAUUUUUGGUCCUCUGAAAAUGAAUCCAAAACAAUAAAACAAGCUGAAUGUUUUCCUCUAGUGGAAAGAAAGAAAGCAAACCUACUACAGGUAAAUUGAAAUCUUCAAACAGACCCAUAACACACUGCUGAGACAUUCUUGAGAUGAUGGCUUUAGUUAGACUGGGGCCACACAUCUUUACAUUUCUUCAUUCACCUGGCAGGACUAAUGAGAUUUUAUGGCGGGCAAGCUGUUUAUCCCUUGGGUGACAUUGGCAAGCACAUCUAUAUCUUUAUCAAUCAAGGGUUUUCUGCACUGCAACUCCCACCCCCAACCUAAAGAUUGCCCCAGCCUGGAUCACAACAUUUACAACACGUAAGAACCUCAUUCCUUUUCAUCAACACUCCACCCAUCACUUUCUGUUACCUAGAUCUAAUCAUGUGUGUCCUAACAUCACAUUGCUCCAUAACAAGGGGCAGGAAGAAGAAAUGAAUAAAAGGAAAAGAAAAAAAGGUUUCGAUGGUACCUGCAAGUUGAUGCAGAGCUGACAGCUCCAUGGCUAGAAUAUUAUAUUUGCCCAAUAGAACAAUAGGUCUGCUGGCAAGCUGUUACCUACAGUACUGUAUCUGCUGAACAGGUGGAAAAAGCUCUCUUCCCCUCUGCAGUGGUUUAGGAACAUGAGGAGGUGACCACCACUCCAGUUUGGAAACAAGGAUUUGGUUCCCCUUUGUAGCUUUCAUAUUGCCUGAAUUCACCUGCAAUGUCUAUUUUCAGUACUUAAUAAAUACUCAUAUACACAUGAACAUACAAACUCACAUAUUUAACAAUUGCCAUCAUAAACUCUCAGGAUGAUGUAUCCAUUCUACCUUUGCAACCUGGAAAAUGUCCCCAGAUCUCAGACCAAGGAGAUACUGGGGAAAUGGCUCUGCAAAAAUCCAGGAACAGGUUUUGGUUCUGGUUCUCCCAUAGAAUAUAUCUAUAACACCUGGACAGAAUGCUUGGUGCAGCUGCUUGAGAACUCUUGAAAAAGUAAACAGUAGCAGGUAGAUUGUGGGAGAAAACCAGAAUUCAAAAGUAUCACCAAUUGACUGUGGAUUUACCAUGUUUACCCUCUGUAUUCCCUGGACAGGACUCAAGGCAGCCUUUGUGACAGGGAGGGUUCCAGCAUAAACCUUCUAGUUCAGACUCAAGGUGAGAGAAGAGUCUUCUGGCAGUGGCAGCCACAGCAUGGAAGGCCCACAGCACAGAAUAUGCUGUCGAAGCGGGACCUUCCUCUUCAGUCAAAGGAAUCAUGGUCCCAAGACCAUGCUUUUUCUUUUCUCUGGGCUCCCACCACUUGGUCCUGGACAGGGCAGAGUCACAGUGAGUGCACAGAAGAGCAGGGUGAUAAGGCUCCAGUUUUCUGGAUGGAUAGCCAAAAAGGUGAAUCCUGGGAAACUGGAAAGUGCCAGGGAGAUGGUAGAGAGAAAGGAGCUUGGGAAAACGAACCCAGACAGUUAUUUGCUGGCUUGUGGGCACACCCUUGAGCUGUGCAUUCUUGGAUUUGAUCACAAACAUCAUAACAGAGACUUUGAGAACUGAAUUAACAGCUACAUCGCUAUCUAGGUCCCAUCCUGACCAUGAAAUAAUAGGCACCCAGGAGAAACGUGAACAGGACCACAGUGACUUUGAAAAUAGAACUGACAUUGCAACCACAACCACAGAAAGCUGAUCAGAACUUGCAGUCUAAACCAAUUGUGUCAAUUGCCUGCUAAAAAAACAUAAGUAAAUGAACAAACCUGUACAGAUUGAAACAAGACCUAGUGUCUCAUAAUAUAAUAUUCAAAAUGCUCAUGAUAUGCUUCAAAACUAGUCGCCAUGUGAACCAGGAAAAUCUCAACUCAUGAGAGAAAAGACAAUCAAUGGAUGUCAAUAUGAAGAAAACACAAAUGUGAUAGUUAUUUGACAAGAAAUUAAAGCGACUUUUAUAAAAGUGCUCUAAGAAGUAAGAACCAACACUCUAGAAAGCUUUAGCAAAGAGAAUAAAGAUUGAGAAAAGUAAAAAUUAAAAAAAAAAUUAAAAACCACCCAGAACUUCAGGGUCCUGUGAAACAAUUCCCCAAAAGCCUAAUAUUUGUGUCAUCAGAGCUCCAAAAGGACAGGAAAAAGUGUGGUACAGAAAAAUACUCAAAAAAUAAAGACUGGAAACUUCCCAAAUUUGGCAAAAAGCACAAACCUAUAGAAAUUCAGUGAACUCCAAACAGGACAAACCCAGAGGAACCUAUGCCCAAACAUUCUAAUGAAACUGCUAAGAACUAAAACCAGCCCCGAAAAUAUUAAAACAGUCAGAGAAAACCAACACACUAUUUAUAGAGGAACAAUUAAAUGACUGUGGAAUUCUCAUCUAAAACAAUUGGAGGCAAGAUGAUAAAAUGCUGAAAGAAAAAAAAUUGUCACCCUAGAAUUCUAUAUUCUAAGAAAAUAUCCUUCAGGAAUGAAGGUGGAAUAAGAACAUUAUCAGAUACAUGAAAAAUAAGAGAAUUUUUGGCAGCAGUCGUGCUGUAGAAGAAUUACUAAAGAAAGAUCUACAGACAGUUACCUCGUGUGAAAGAAACUAGACUCAAAAGGUUAUGUACUGUAAUGAUUUCAUUUAUAUAGCAAUUUCAAAAAUAAAAAUUUGGCAACAGAGAAUAGAUCAGUGGUUGCUAGGGUUCGGGGUGGGAUGAGGGUGUGAUUAAAAUGGGACAGCAUGAAGACAUUUUGGUGUGAUGAAGCUGUUCUGCAACCUGAUUCUCUACACUCAUUAAAAGGCGUAGAAUUCUACACACACCCAAGGUCAAUCUUGCUGCAUGUUAAUUUUUUUUAGGCCAAUAAACAAGAGAUGUUCCUCUCUAAGAACCUUCUAGUCUAAAUAAUACUGAAUAAUACUUCACCACCUUCCUUGGACACCUGCUUGUGAAGGUCAUUGACAAGGCCAAUGCCCGGUUGUUUCUGCUGCCCUUGAGUGUGCAGCUCACAGCUGAAUUUACCCUCCCCACCUGCCCCACUGCCAGUUCAAGCUCAGAAAAUAUCACACGUUUGAGCUGAACAAUGAAUAAGAAGUCAGGAGGCAUUUUGUGGGACUGCCCUCUUCUACAAAAUCUAUAAAGCUCACCUCCCUUCGCCCCUCCUGAGAAACAAGAUAAGAAAAAAAACCAUUGAACUUAUGAAGAUCAGGACUUAUAUAUCUAGGUGUCACCUCAUCAUUGGAGCACCCACUUCUGUGUUUCCUUCCUAGCUGCUGCACCCCAAAAUGUGCAGCAAAGCCCCAGCAGGCCCUGGAGCCCCUACCUGCUGCACUACCCUACCACUCCACUGAUGUCUAGAGUAUUUCUCUUGCAGCAGAUAUCCUUUUGGUCAAAGUAAUAAUUGUCCUUUUGUAUCAGGUGGUUGGUAUUCUUAUUUUCGCCUUUGGCAGACCCAUAGGAGGAAAAGAGAAUCGCAUGUUUGCAGGAGAAGGGAUAAAAUAAAAAUAAGACCUUAGGCAUUGCUCUAAUACUGCAGUUCUGCAUUGUUUAAAAACCGUGUUUGUGGCUGGGCGCGGUGGCUCAUGCCUGUAAUCCCCGCACUUUGGGAGGCCAAGGCGGGAGGAUCAUGAGGUCAGGAGAUCGAGACCAUCCUGGCUAACAUGAUGAAACCCCAUCUUUACUCAAAAUACACAAAAAAUUAGCCAGGCAUGGUGGCAGGCACCUGUAGUCACAGCUACUCAGGAGGCUGAGGCAGGAGAAUGGCAUGAACCUGGGAGGCUGGAGCUUGCAGUGAGCCGAGAUCACGCCUCUCCAGCCUGGGCAACAGAGAGAGACUCCAUCUCAAAAAAAAAAGCAAAACUGUGUUUGUGUGACUCUUUCCCCCUUAAGGCAGGCAUUAUGCCUUACUCAGUUUUGUGUCUCCAGGGAACUGCACAGUGAUAGACAUGUGGAGGCACUCAUAGAGAUAUAGGUUGUAAGUAAGUGAAUGCAUGCACCCAUGGCUGAAUAAAUGAACCGUGUGACUGAUACAAUUCUGCAAAUACAGCAGAUGCCCAAGUGGGUCUCUUAGCUCUGACAGCAGGCAAAGGUGGUGGUGAUCCAGUGGCCUAGAGAGGGCAGGGUGCCAAUGGAGGGCUCCAGUCUGGUAACAGGAAGGCAGGAGAAUUGGGCCACAGCAGGCACCUCAUCCCCCUGCCCCCCUGCCCCAUGGAUUGGCACGAGCAGUCCAUCUCUAGGCUGAGCAGAAGGAAGGAAAUCACAGCAGAAAACAUAGUCCUGGUGAGAUGCUCUAAAGUCAAUAUUCGAACGAAAACAUCACUCCUCUACAGUGUUUCCUGUUCCAUGAGAUGCUCCUUCAAAUAAUGUCCCCUCCUCAAACACGUUUAAAAAACACUCUAGGCUGUGUCUCCUUCUUAAAGAUGCACAAUACAUAUUUGCUUAUUAAAUCCUCUGGAAAGCCGCAGAGUAAAGAAAUGUUUAAUUUUUUAAUAUAUAGUUGAGGUAGAAUGAACAUAUGCACAGGUCUUGUAUUCAACUCAAUAAUAUUUGAGAGUUUAAUGCUCAGUUUACUGCUACCCAAAACAAGAUGUAGAAUAUUUCCAUCACCCCAGAAAGUUUCUCCAUGCCCGAUUCCAGCCAACCCACUGUCCGCACUCAGAGACAACCACUGUCUUACCGCUCAUCAGCAUCAUCUGCCUUUGCUUGUUCUUGGACUAUGCCACAUGUAUUUUUGUGUGGCUUGCUUCUUUUGCUCAGUGUGAAGAUAUUUUAGUUGUGUCAAUGCUGUUGUGUAUAUUAGUAGUUCUUUUUUUC